rnacentral:rRNA from 1 species
UACGGGGGGGGCAAGCGUUGUUCGGAAUUACUGGGUGUAAAGGGUUCGUAGGCGGUGUGGCAAGUUGGGAGUGAAAUCUCUGGGCUCAACCCAGAGACGGCUUCCAAAACUGCCGUGCUUGAGUGUGGGAGAGGCUCGUGGAAUUGCAGGUGUAGCGGUGAAAUGCGUAGAUAUCUGCAGGAACACCCGUGGCGAAAGCGGCGAGCUGGACCACUACUGACACUGAAGAACGAAAGCUAGGGGAGCAAACAGG